CCCGGAAGACUACCGGGUUGAUAGGCUGCGUGUGUAAGCAUGGUGACAUGUGUGCUUGGCAGUACUAAUAGACCGAGGGCUUGACCUA
rnacentral:rRNA from 1 species